rnacentral:rRNA from 1 species
GUGGGGAAUAUUGGACAAUGGGCGAAAGCCUGAUCCAGCCAUGCCGCGUGUGUGAAGAAGGUCUUCGGAUUGUAAAGCACUUUAAGUUGGGAGGAAGGGCAGUAAGUUAAUACCUUGCUGUUUUGACGUUACCGACAGAAUAAGCACCGGCUAACUUCGUGCCAGCAGCCGCGGUAAUACGAAGGGUGCAAGCGUUAAUCGGAAUUACUGGGCGUAAAGCGCGCGUAGGUGGUGUUGUAAGUUGGAGGUGAAAUCCCCGGGCUCAACCUGGGAACUGCCUCCAAAACUGCAUGACUAGAGUACGGUAGAGGGUAGUGGAAUUUCCUGUGUAGCGGUGAAAUGCGUAGAUAUAGGAAGGAACACCAGUGGCGAAGGCGACUACCUGGACUGAUACUGACACUGAGGUGCGAAAGCGUGGGGAGCAAACAGGAUUAGAAACCCCAGUAGUCC